CGUUUCUUCUUCCUUUUUCUUUCUCUUUCUAUCUCCAUUCUCCUCUCUCGUUUCUUCCCCAAACCCAACUCUUAGAACCCUAGCCCCAAAUUCACGGCAACAAGGACGGCAACGAGGACGACGACGAGUACGGCAACGAGUACGGCUUCCAGGAGCUUAAUGUGCCAGAGAAGGACGUUGAGGAGUUAUUAGUCUCCCUUAUCCUGGAUAAUCGGAUUCAGGGGCACAUUGAUCAAGUGAAUCGGAUUCAGGGGCACAUUGAUCAAGUGAAUCGGAUUCAGGGGCACAUUGACAGCUCGAGCUCGACAAAAAUGGUCGAGCUCGACUCAUUGCCACCCCUAGCACCGUGUUUUGAGAACACGGUUGAGAAGAAGUCCACAUCUUGGCGGCAGCAGAGAGUUGAGAAAGAUGGAGGGUUUAAGGGCUGGUUCAUCUC